AAAGUUAUAAAUUUGCUUGUUUUUAGCUCAUUAAUUUAUUACAACAAUAGUGGUAGUGAAAGCAUGCGAGGGGUAGAAUUUUCCCUACGCGGUCUCAAACACGGAACGUAACUAAACUACCAAUAGAUUCGCGACACGUGUGAUAACAGAGAACAGUUUUCCGCGGCGAGGAGAACGGCGAUCCGAACGGCCGCGGGACGGUUCGGGACCGCCGAUUUUUGGGGUAAAUUGCAACACUUGUCCCUCUACUUUUCGUUAUUUGUCGCUGUAGUCCUCGGUUUUUAGUAUUCUUUGUUGGCAGUCCUCAAAUUUUAGUCCUUUCUCAUUAUUUCUUUUUUGAAAAUUUAUUAUUGCUUACACUUUCUGCAUCUAUAUUUUUUAUGUAACGUGCAUUUGUUGAUGAUCACAAAUCUCUAAUAUCAAAACGUAUUAAAAAUCGAGAGGUAGUUUUCUUUCAAAUUCUAAAAAUUGAAUUUAAAGUAUUAUUAUACAAAUGAAAAGAUAACGAAAAAGAUAAUUUAUUAUAAGGUGUAUAAAUAGUUUGAAUGUUAAACUUAAGAAGUUCGAGAACUAAAAUAAAACUUGAGCAGAAGUUUAAGAAUCAUUCCAUAGCUCGAAAGUGGGAUUUAAAAGUUUAAAUAUUAAAAAUGAAACACGACUAGAAGU
rnacentral:lncRNA from 1 species